UUUCCAUGAUGAUUACCUUUCAGUUCUGCUACUGAAGAUUUUUGACGAUAGCAAAAAUACCAAACCACUGAAAA
rnacentral:snoRNA from 12 species